rnacentral:lncRNA from 1 species
GCCUCAGAUAUGAAAGAACAUGUGUUGAGAAGGAUCAAACGGUGGCAUCUAAAGUCUCAACAACUUUAAAGGACAAAGUGUGUCAUUGGUGUGGAAUUAAAGGUCACAUCAAAAGGAAUUGCCCGGUGAAACAUAGGANAAAGUCUCAACAACUUUAAAGGACAAAGUGUGUCAUUGGUGUGGAAUUAAAGGUCACAUCAAAAGGAAUUGCCCGGUGAAACAUAGGAAGAAUCAUUCGGCAACUCCUAAAGCUCAAUCGGCAUCAUCUACAACUCGACUUCCCCCGCGGAAUCAAAAGCAAAAUCAAGUAAGUCGAGUACCUCAAGGGAAUCGGACUUCUAA